rnacentral:rRNA from 1 species
GAUGAACGCUGGCGGCGUGCCUAAUACAUGCAAGUCGAGCGAACAGACGAGGAGCUUGCUCCUCUGACGUUAGCGGCGGACGGGUGAGUAACACGUGGAUAACCUACCUAUAAGACUGGGAUAACUUCGGGAAACCGGAGCUAAUACCGGAUAAUAUAUUGAACCGCAUGGUUCAAUAGUGAAAGACGGUUUUGCUGUCACUUAUAGAUGGAUCCGCGCCGCAUUAGCUAGUUGGUAAGGUAACGGCUUACCAAGGCAACGAUGCGUAGCCGACCUGAGGGGGUGAUCGGCCACACUGGAACUGAGACACGGUCCAGACUCCUACGGGAGGCAGCAGUAGGGAAUCUUCCGCAAUGGGCGAAAGCCUGGCGGAGCAACGCCGCGUGAGUGAUGAAGGUCUUCGGAUCGUAAAACUCUGUUAUUAGGGAAGAACAAAUGUGUAAGUAACUAUGCACGUCUUGACGGUACCUAAUCAGAAAGCCACGGCUAACUACGUG